CCUACGGGCGGCAGCAGUAGGGAAUAUUGCGCAAUGGGCGAAAGCCUGACGCAGCGACGCCGCGUGAGGGAUGAAGGUCUUCGGAUCGUAAACCUCUGUCAGCAGGGAAGAACGGUCACUGUGCUAAUCAGCAGUGAAUUGACGGUACCUGCAACGGAAGCACCGGCUAACUCCGUUCCAGCAGCCGCGGUAAUACGGAGGGUGCGAGCGUUUAUCGGAAUUACUGGGCGUAAAGCGCGCGGAGGCGGUAUGGCAAGUCAAGGGUGAACUCCCCGGGCUCAACGUGGGAACUGCAUUUGAUACUGGCAAACUGGAGUGUGUGAGAGGAUAGUGGAAUUCCAGGUGUAGGAGUGAAAUGCGUAGAGAUCUGGAGGAACAUCAGUGGCGAAGGCGACUCUCUGGCACAUAACUGACGCUGAGGAGCGAAAGCGUGGGUAGCAAACAGGAUUAGAUACCCGUGUAGUC
rnacentral:rRNA from 1 species